UACAGAGGUCUCAAGCGUUGUUCGGAUUCAUUGGGCGUAAAGGGUGCGUAGGUGGCGGGGUAAGUCAGGUGUGAAAUCUCGAGGCUCAACCUCGAAACUGCACUUGAUACUGCCUUGCUCGAGUACUGGAGAGGAGAUUGGAAUUUACGGUGUUGCAGUGAAAUGCGUAGAUAUGACAUAGAACAUCGAUUGCGAAGGCAGCUCGCUACACUAUGAUUGACACUGAGGCACGAAAGCGUGGGGAUCAAACAGG
rnacentral:rRNA from 1 species